rnacentral:rRNA from 1 species
UACGAAGGGGGCUAGCGUUGCUCGGAAUCACUGGGCGUAAAGCGUGCGUAGGCGGUUUUGUAAGUUUGGUGUGAAAUCUCCCGGCUCAACUGGGAGGGUGCGCCGAAAACUGCAAGGCUGGAGUGUGGGAGAGGUAGGCGGAAUUCCUGGUGUAGCGGUGAAAUGCGCAGAUAUCAGGAAGAACACCCGUGGCGAAAGCGGCUCUCUGGAACGGUACUGACGCUGAGACGCGAAAGCGUGGGGAGCGAACAGG